UACGUAGGGUGCGAGCGUUAAUCGGAAUUACUGGGCGUAAAGGGUGCGCAGGCGGCGUCGCAAGUCAGGCGUGAAAUCCCCGGGCUUAACCUGGGAACUGCACUUGAAACUACGAUGCUGGAGUAUGGCAGAGGGAGGUGGAAUUCCACGUGUAGCGGUGAAAUGCGUAGAUAUUGGGAGGAACACCGGUGGCGAAGGCGGCCCCCUGGACCGGUACUGACGCUGAGGCGCGAAAGCGUGGGUAGCAAACGGG
rnacentral:rRNA from 1 species